rnacentral:rRNA from 1 species
AUGGCGGCGAAGCCUUCGCAGGACGCGCCGCUCCAGCUCCACACCGUGGAAGUGGAUCAGCCCAUCGCCACCGUCAACCGCCUCCUCGCCGUCCUCCACGUGGCGCUCGCCGCCGCGGCCAUCGCCCACCGCGGCGCCCAUGUGAUGCUGGCGGCCGACCUGGUGCUCCUCUUCCUGUGGGCGCUGUCCCAGGCGCCCAUGUGGCGCCCCGUCUCCCGCGCCGCCUUCCCGUCCCGGCUCUCGCGCGCAGCCCUCCCGGCCGUGGACGUGAUGGUGGUGACCGCCGACCCGGACAAGGAGCCCGCGGCGAAGGUGAUGAACACGGUGGUCUCCGCCAUGGCGCUCAACUACCCGGGCGGGCGGCUGAGCGUGUACCUCUCCGACGACGCGGGGUCGCCGCGGACCCUGCUCGCGGCCAGGAAGGCCUACGCCUUUGCCAGGGCCUGGGUGCCCUUCUGCAGGAAGUACGGCGUGCGGUGCCCGUGCCCCGACAGGUUCUUCGCCGGCGACGACCAGCUCGAUCUGGACGGCCACCACCGCCAAGAACUCGACGACGACAGGCUAAGAAUCAAGAAAAUGUACGAGACGUUCAAAGAGGGUGUCGAGGAGGUGAUGAGCGACGCAGCUCUUUCUCAGAGUUGGACAAAAGCAGAUCACGAUGCUCACGUCGAGAUCAUCACCGGCGAUGAGCAAGACAGCAGCAACAGCAACUCCGGCGACGGCGAGGAGGAUGAGGACGCCACGCCCUUGCUGGUCUACGUGUCUCGCGGGAAGCGGAGGUCGUCGACUCACCACUUCAAAGCCGGCGCACUCAACGUCCUUCUCCGGGUGUCUAGCUUGAUGAGCAACUCGCCGUACGUGAUGGUGCUGGACUGCGACAUGUACUGCAACAGCCGGAGCUCCAUCCUCGAGGCCAUGUGCUUCCACCUCGACGGCCGCCGCCGCGCCGACCUCGCCUUCGUGCAGUUCCCUCAGAUGUUCCACAACCUCAGCACCAGCGACAUCUACGCCAACGAGCUCAGGUCAAUCUUCUGGACGCGGUGGAAAGGCUUGGACGGCCUCCGGGGGCCGAUCCUCUCCGGCACCGGCUUCUGCGCCAGGAGAGACGCCAUCUACGGCGCCCUGCCGGCCAGCUCGCAAGAUCAGUUCUCUGGUGUGGAGGUCGGCGAGCUGAAGAGGAGGUUCGGCGUCUCGAAUGGUCACAUAGCGUCGCUGCGCCGACCCGGGACCGGGAGCACCAUUGUUGCACGUGAUGCUCUUCCGCAGGAUGCAGAGUUGGUGGCUUGCUGUGAUUACGAGACGGGCACCGAAUGGGGCGAGGAGGUCGGCUUCUUGUACCAGUCGGUGGUGGAGGACUACUUCACCGGCUACCGGCAGCUCUACUGCCGAGGGUGGACGUCCGUCUACUGCUUCCCGGCGACGGGGUCGAGGCCGCCGUUCCUUGGCAGCGUGCCCACCAACCUCAACGACGCGCUGGUGCAGAACAAGCGGUGGAUGUCCGGCAUGCUCGCCGUCGGCCUCUCCAGGCACUGCCCCCUCGCCUCCGCCGCCGCCAUCUCCGUGCCUGAGAGCAUGGGCUUCGCCUACUACGCCUUCAUGGCCUUGUACGCCUUUCCCGUGCUCUGCUACGCCAUCGUGCCGCAGCUCUGCUUCUUCCGCGGCGGCACGUCGUUCCCGGAGGCGUCGACGCUCUGGUUCGCCGCCGUGUUCGUGUCGUCGUCGCUGCAGCACCUGGUGGAGGUGUCGGUGGCCAAGCGUGGGCUGGCGGCGAGGACGUGCUGGAACGAGCAGAGGUUCUGGGCGCUCAACGCCGUCACGGGCCAGCUCUUCGCCUGCCUCAGCGUCGCCCUCAACCUGGUCGACGGCGCCGGGGGCCGGGCGGUGGACUUCGACCUCACCAGCAAGGCGUCCGACGACAGGCUGUACCGGGACGGCGUGUUCGACUUCGCCGGAUGCAGCACGCUGCUCCUGCCGGCCACCACGCUCUGCCUGCUCAACGCCGCAGCGCUCGUCGGCGGGGUCUGGAAGAUGGUCGGCAGGGGCGGCAACAUGCCCGGCGAGCUGUUCCUCCUCUGCUACAUCGCGGCACUGAGCUAUCCGCUGCUGCAAGGGAUGUUCCUCAGGCGGGACCUCGCAAGAGUUCCGGCGCGGAUCACGGCAAUGUCUGUCGCCAUGGUUGCCACUCUGCUAUCCUUGUUUGGUUAA